CCUACGGGAGACUGCAGUGAGGAAUAUUGGUCAAUGGACGAGAGUCUGAACCAGCCAAGUAGCGUGAAGGAUGACUGCCCUAUGGGUUGUAAACUUCUUUUAUAAAGGAAUAAAACGAGGCACGUGUGCCUUUUUGCAUGUACUUUAUGAAUAAGGAUCGGCUAACUCCGUGCCAGCAGCCGCGGUAAUACGGAGGAUCCGAGCGUUAUCCGGAUUUCUUGGGUUUAAAGGGAGCGUAGAUGGGUUGUUAAGUCAGUUGUGAAAGUUUGCGGCUCAACCGUAAAAUUGCAAUUGAUACUGGCAGUCUUGAGUACAGUUGAGGUAGGCGGAAUUCGUGGUGUAGCGGUGAAAUGCUUAGAUAUCACGAAGAACCCCGAUUGCGAAGGCAGCUUACUAAACUGUGACUGACAUUGAUGCUCGAAAGUGUGGGUAUCAAACAGGAUUAGAUACCCCAGUAGUC
rnacentral:rRNA from 1 species